ACCUACCUUGUUAUGAACACCACUGUCCGGUCUUAAUAGAGAUGUCAGAUAAAGAAUUUAAUUAAUCACUGACACGCUCACCAAACAGGAUGUUAUCUUUGUUUCUUGUUUCAUGACAAGAUGUGCUGCCACUCCAACAGGGAGGUGCAAAGCCCAAUGGGAUAUCUAAAAAUACGAGAGGACUGAAACAUGUCACGGCUCUGCUGGGAGGUGCCAGGUUGCCUGGGAGCUCUGGGGCUGCAGCAUGCUGUUCCUGUGUGCUGCAGCUACCGUGGAUACAGCAGACACAGCAGGGAAAUAUAUCACAGUCACCCACUUGGCUGCCGGCCAGAAAUAAUGGGAAAAUAACCAAUGGAAUAAACAUUUCAAGAAAAACUUGUAAGUUUAACCCUUGUGCUAGGCAUUUUAACAUUGGGAGUUGGGUCAUCUAGACCCACUAGACAGUGCGCUGAACUUUUUGUCUUCAAUGAUUUGUGAUCUUCACUGGUGUCCAUGGAUUACACGAAAUCUUUCCACCUUUAUCCACCUUUGUCAUGGUAGGGAGAACAUGUCAAUGUAAGGGUGAGGUCAUCUAAGACAGCACAAGGGAUAAAGAAACAAUAUUCCAAAGUAUUCUUCCUAUUCAGCAACGGUUUCAGAGGAAGCAUUAUGCACUUUGAGGAAAUGUGUGAAUUGGGAACUGGAUGUGUCUCUACCAUGGGUGCUUUCAAGUACUUCCUGGGAAAAAGUCUGGAGCGCGCUGAUACGCUGUGACCCCCCUCAGUACACACUCCGGCAUUACAAUCUACUUCCUCUGUGCACACUAGUGAUGAAUGGUUGGCACAAUGAUCACGCAAGAUUACACACCUGGUAAUUGGUC
rnacentral:lncRNA from 1 species